UUGGUUCUUUGUUACACUGAACCAAAUCAGGAAAUAAAAUUUACUGGGUCAUUUCAUUAAUUUUUAAUGUUAAUCGCUCAGAUACAAAGUAAUGAUUUAUCCAGUACAAGUUAUUGGAAAAUCCUAUAAAUUCUACAAAUGUAUUAUGUUGAUGAAAAACAUACUAAAAAGUAUAGGAAAAUCUAAUGAAUACCAUGAGCCUAAUAAUCCUAAUCAAAUAUAUUAGAAAAUUCAUUUCUUUUCACAUAUUUAUUUGUAAAUAGUUUAUAUAUUUUGCCCGCAAUAUCAAAAACCGUACCGUACCGUAAAUCGUCAAAAAUAUUUGGUUCCGGAUACGUUCAUAAUCAUGAUUUGUACCGUGUCUUUGCUUGUUUAGAAUGACAACAAACGAUUUUAGAAAGAUAUGUACGUUAAUGAUCAUAGACCGAAUGAAAAAAAUCGUGCAUCUGGGUAAAGUGUGCCUUAUUUGCUGCUGGUGUCACAUAUAGAGAAAAAAAACACGAGGCAUCUGAGCCUACGGUUCCGGAAAAUCCUUCAAUUUGACCAGAAAAAUUAUAAAAAGCCAAAGAAGCACUGAAGAAUAAGUGCACCGGGGAACACGGCAACGCAAGCAAUGAAGUACAGAUGCAAGGACAAACAUCACCCCCACCGUAGCGGUUCCGCCAAACAAGGUAAAACUGGGCCGCGUAGAUGCGGCAGUGGAAGCACCUAUAAUCGUCGGAGAAAUUAAAUUGUGAGAAACAACUCAAUUGCGGUACUGGAGACGGCAUCGGCAGCGAACAUUCGAAUUUGGCGGUGGUGGCAGCGAAAAAAAAAACUGUUAUUCCGAUAGACUCGAAUUUCCAGAAUUGUGCGAAAGGGACCGGUUCUAAGGCACUGUUGGCUCACCCACAGAUUCCAUCUGUUGGCUGUAGAAGUUGUUGAAUCUGAUGUCUCUGGAUCAGCGGAAUCGGUCGAAAAAAGGUUUCCGUCCUCUAGAGAACUGAAUCUUCAGGCAUUGAUUUGUGAUAUUGUGAAGAGUAUUCUUCUUUUCCUUCAACAUCGAACCUAAAGUAGAUUAGACCCGAUGCACCGAAAUUGGCCGUCAUAUUUUGGUAAUACCACCUUGCCGGACAAAUAUCGGAGCGCUUUGAAACAAGUAAACACUGGGCCGCGUAGAGGCGGCAGAAAUAAUAACAUCACCGUACAUGGUCAUAAUUUCAGCCUAUAGGCUGAAUCGUUAAUUUAUUUACAUGUUUUUGGUGCGCUUUAAAACAUUGCGGGCUUUAAAGAUCUAUGUAUCGUUUUUCGGGUGUUCAUUGUUAAACUCAUCAAGGAUUCGUGGCUGUUUUUUACACAUGGUGGAUCAAAUACGAGAUAUCUCGUUUUUCCGCUUGCCACUAAUGUGCUUCUCUCAGAAGCAUAACUCAAAUAUCAGGAACUCAAGCAUCAUAUAAACUAAAAUUACCAUGGCACAUACAUUUAAUGUCAUUUCAUUUUUU